AGUGAACGCUGGCGGCAGGCCUAACACAUGCAAGUCGAACGGCAGCACAGGAGAGCUUGCUCUCUGGGUGGCGAGUGGCGGACGGGUGAGGAAUACAUCGGAAUCUACCGUUUCGUGGGGGAUAACGUAGGGAAACUUACGCUAAUACCGCAUACGACCGUAGGGUGAAAGCGGAGGACCUUCGGGCUUCGCGCGGAUAGAUGAGCCGAUGUCGGAUUAGCUCGUUGGCGGGGUAAAGGCCCCCCAAGGCGACGAUCCGUAGCUGGUCUGAGAGGAUGAGCAGCCACACUGGAACUGAGACACGGUCCAGACUCCUACGGGAGGCAGCAGUGGGGAAUAUUGGACAAUGGGCGCAAGCCUGAUCCAGCCAUGCCGCGUGGGUGAAGAAGGCCUUCGGGUUGUAAAGCCCUUUUGUUGGGAAAGAAAAGCAGUCGGUUAAUACCCGAUUGUUCUGACGGUACCCAAAGAAUAAGCACCGGCUAACUUCGUGCCAGCCGCCGCGGUAA
rnacentral:rRNA from 1 species